UUCCCUUUAGUAAACCCUUAAGAACUGCAAAAGGAAUUGUACAGCUCCCCUUUUACAGGAGGAAUGAAAGCAGAGCAAUACCUUUUCUUCCAGGUAGUUUGGCGGUAUUGUUGCCAAGAGCAGGUACCAAUACUCCCGUAAUGAGUGGCAGCAGGAUGUUAAGAAUUAUAAGAGCAGUUGGGCCACCUGGAAGGCAGUCAGAAUUCAGUCUGCUAACUAGAUGAUCUCAACUCUGAGUUUUUGAUGCUGAAGGUCAGCUCGCUGCUGGAUGCAGGAUAGGCUUGUCUCUGGAAAGCAGUCAACACAUCAGCCCCUUAAUGGCAUUGAUGAUUAGUGAAGCACCAAGGGAAAAAUUAGAUUAGAAAAACAAAUGAAAAUAAUUUAGGAAGUACUGUUUAUCCUUUGUGGAAGACGCUGCCAUAUCCAGACUGCAGGAAACAAUUUGACUUCAAUCCAGAAGAAAAGGAGCCCCGGUCUGGAGUACAUUAGUGUGGUGGGAGGCCGGGAAUAGCAGCCACUUAACCCUGUCAUUCAGCAAACAUUAGUGAAUUAUGAGUGUAUUAUAUGUUGGGUUAUGUGUUUUGUGAAAUGCCUGGAGGCUUGCUAGAGCGGCACUAAAAUGCUAUUGGGCGUCUCUGUCAAAAUGUAAAUUUUUAUACCGACUCUGAAAUAAAAAUAAGAUUUCGUGUUCGCCUCCCAGCUACUGAAAUCAAAUCGCAGCCAAAGCCAGAGUUGUAAAAUAAGCAAAAAUUUCCCUUCCUGUCAAAUUAGUUCCCUGCUAAAGAAAACAAGUGAUAUAAAUGUGAUUUACUUCCUUUUCCUCCUGUCAUAAACAUUUAUGGCUGAGAAGUAACAAUGGGUUUAAAAAGGCAGUCACAGCUCUUUGAUUUUUUGUUUGCAGUGCAACCUGUGCUGGAGUUGGGUUUGAUAUAUGUAUAAAAAAGGAUCGAGCUACAUUCUGCUGAUAGGUGUGGGAAUUGUUUAUACCAGAUGGGACCUUUGGAGAUGCAGAUCCCUAACUGUGACAUUCCUGUAGAGUUCACUGGAGAAGAAAGAAUUCAACUAAGAGAAACAAUCUGAAGAAAGAAUCUUAUUCUCCCUUUUACCCAUAGUCUUUCCUGCACACCCCUCUCCUCAGAGAGCUAACUUAGCUCUGAUCCAUCCAUUCUGCACUACAGUGGAGAAGAAACUCAUCUAAAGGCAGACUAACAUGGACACCAGUGGUUCCUCUAGGGCUGAUCUCUUGCUUCAAUAGCGCACUCCCUACGGCAAAGGCAACUUCUCUAGUGAAAUCACUGGCUGGAUUGUACUGACAGUACAAAUUAACUAUUCACUAAACCGAAAAGCUGCUCCAGCGGUUUAGAGGAUCUGGCUAAUAAGGACACCUCUCAUCUAUACCUCCAGUCUAGAAAGAAAGGAUUUCAAGCAAGAAUGGUCUUGAAAAUUUGGGAGACCCCAAGAUAAGGAGACCACCACGGGGAGCAUGUGGCUAUAGGAUUGGGAAGUCCCUGUGCUACUGGACUGACAUUUUCUUAGCCAUCUUUGCAUCCCUCCACUGCCUCCCCCUUCUCGAUCACAUCAAACAUAAGCUACUUGUCUUCACUUUCAAGGCCCUUUACAGCCAAUCCCCAUGCUCUCUCUCAUUCACUAUCAAGAUGUCAACUCCCACUUCAGAUUAGCUCAUGAAGUCAGCACCUCCAUAGUUGGGGUUGGUCCUGCUUUGAGCUGGGGAUUGGACUAGAUGACCUCCUGAGGUCUCUUCCAACCCUAAUCUUCUAUGAUCAUGCAUUUGUUAAAUUUUCACACAAGUCCUUCCACGCUUUCUCCCACACUGCUCCACACCCAUGGGAGGCACGGUCUUUAAACAUCUGCAAAGCUACCUUGUUCUCCUCCUUCAAACGCUCCCUUGCUGUGAUGCUUACCAAAAACUUGACAAUAGUUAAGCAGCUGGUGUGCAGAGACCACUGCCCACCACACUGACCAAUACUGUCUCAUUGCUUUCCAGUACUCCCCUGGCUGUCUGCAUUGUAUCAUUUGUGGUCUCUUGCCUUAUACUUCGGUGGUAAGCUCUAUUUGUACAGUGCCUAGCACAGUGGGGUCCUGCCGUUUUACCAGGUACUCUAGUAAUACAAAUAAUAAAUAAGAAUAUAU